rnacentral:rRNA from 1 species
GAUGAACGCUGGCGGCGUGCCUAAUACAUGCAAGUCGAGCGCACAAACGAGGUGCUUGUUCCUCUGGCGUUAGCGGCGGACGGGUGAGUAACACGUGGAUAACCUACCUUUAAGCCUGGGAUAACUUCGGGAAACCGGUGCUAAUACCGGAUAAUAUCUUGAAACACAUGGUUCAAUAGUGAAAGACGGUUUUGCAGUAACCUAUAGAUGGCUCCGGUCCUCUUUGGCUAUUUGGUAGGGUAACGCCCAACAAAGGCAUCGAUCCGAAGCCGACCUGAGAGGGUGACCGGCCACACUGGAACGGAGACACGGUCCAGACUCCUACGGGAGGCGGCAUUGGGGAAUCUUCCGCAAUGGGCAAAAGCCUGACGGGGCAACGCCGCUGGGGUGAUGAAGGUCUUCGAAUCUUAAAACUCUUUGAUUGGGGAAGAACAAAGGGGGAAUGAACUAUGCACGUCGUGACGGUACCUAAUCAGAAAGCCACGGCUAACUACGUG